CUUUAGCCCCGGUAGGAGCAGCAUCCUUUGCUUUUUUUUUCAAAGCAAAGAUAUAGCGGAUAACGGGACUUUGA
rfam:Flavobacterium sp. LM5 Flavobacterium_sp_LM5_contig1, whole genome shotgun sequence.